rnacentral:sRNA from 1 species
CCCUAGCCCUGAUGGUAGUGACAUCCUUUUUAUGUCUUUUUUUUCUAAAGAGACAUAAAAAGAUAUAACGGACAGCAGGAUAUAAC